rnacentral:rRNA from 1 species
GAUCCUGGCUCGGGAUGAACGCUAGCUACAGGCUUAACACAUGCAAGUCGAGGGGGCAGCAUGACGAUAGCUUGCUAUUGUUGAUGGCGACCGGCGCACGGGUGAGUAACGCGUAUCCAACCUGCCCCUUGUCCAUCGGAUAACCCGUCGAAAGGCGGCCUAACACGAUAUGCAGUUCUCAGCAGGCAUCUAACGAGAACGAAAUGUAAAGGAGAAGGAUGGGGAUGCGU